GGGCAUGUAGUGUAAUGGAUAACACGUUAGACUUCGGAUCUAAAGAUUGCAGGUUCGAGUCCUGUCAUGCUCG